UACGUAGGGUGCAAGCGUUGUCCGGAAUUAUUGGGCGUAAAGAGCUCGUAGGCGGUCUGUUGCGUCGGCUGUGAAAACCCGGGGCUCAACUCCGGGCCUGCAGCCGAUACGGGCAGACUAGAGUUCGGCAGGGGAGACUGGAAUUCCUGGUGUAGCGGUGAAAUGCGCAGAUAUCAGGAGGAACACCGGUGGCGAAGGCGGGUCUCUGGGCCGAUACUGACGCUGAGGGGCGAAAGCGUGGGGAGCGAACAGG
rnacentral:rRNA from 1 species